CUGCAGCUCAAGUGGUGACCGCUAUUAUUGGGCCUAAAACGUUCGUAGCCGGCUGAGUAAAUGCUUGGGUAAAUCGUGCCGCUUAACGGUACGAAUUCCGGGUAGACUACUCAGCUUGAGACCGGGAGAAGCUAGAGGUACUCCUGGGGUAGAGGUGAAAUUCUGUAAUCCUGGGGGGACCACCAGUGGCGAAGGCGUCUAGCUAGAACGGGUCUGACGGUGAGGGACGAAACCCUGGGGCGCGAACCGGAUUAGAUACCCGCGUAGUCC
rnacentral:rRNA from 1 species